rnacentral:rRNA from 1 species
GACGAACGCUGGCGGCGUGCUUAACACAUGCAAGUCGAACGGUGAAGCGCCUUCCUUUUUGGUGGGUGUGGAUGAGUGGCGAACGGGUGAGUAACACGUGAGUAACCUGCCCCCUUCUUCUGGAUAACCGCAUGAAAGUGUGGCUAAUACGGGAUAUUCUGGGUCUGUCGCAUGAUGGGUCUGGGAAAGAUAUUGUUUCGGUGGGGGAUGGGCUCGCGGCCUAUCAGCUUGUUGGUGGGGUGAUGGCCUACCAAGGCGGUGACGGGUAGCCGGCCUGAGAGGGUGGACGGUCACACUGGGACUGAGACACGGCCCAGACUCCUACGGGAGGCAGCAGUGGGGAAUAUUGCACAAUGGGUGCAAGCCUGAUGCAGCGACGCCGCGUGAGGGAUGGAGGCCUUCGGGUUGUGAACCUCUUUCGCCAGUGAAGCAGGCCUGCCUCGUUUGUGGGUGGGUUGACGGUAGCUGGAUAAGAAGCGCCGGCUAACUACGUG